AGGAUAAACGCUGGCGGCGUGCCUAACGCAUGCAAGUCGAACGAGGCCUUCGGGCCUAGUGGCGGACGGGUGAGUAACACGUAGGAACCUGCCCGGAAGUGGGGGACAACUCCGCGAAAGCGGGGCUAAUACCGCAUACGGUCUACGGACCAAAGCCUUCGGGCGCUUUCGGAGGGGCCUGCGGCGGAUUAGCUAGUUGGUGGGGUAACGGCCUACCAAGGCGACGAUCCGUAGCUGGUCUGAGAGGAUGAUCAGCCACACUGGGACUGAGACACGGCCCAGACUCCUACGGGAGGCAGCAGCGAGGAAUUUCCGCAAUGGGCGAAAGCCUGACGGAGCAACGCCGCGUGGGGGAAGAAGGCCUUCGGGUGUAAACCCCUGUUGCGAGGGAAGAAGAUCUGACGGUACCUCGCGAGGAAGCCACGGCUAACACGCGCCAGCAGCCGC
rnacentral:rRNA from 1 species